rnacentral:rRNA from 1 species
GAUGAACGCUGGCGGCGUGCCUAAUACAUGCAAGUCGAGCGAACGGACGAGAAGCUUGCUUCUCUGAUGUUAGCGGCGGACGGGUGAGUAACACGUGGAUAACCUACCUAUAAGACUGGGAUAACUUCGGGAAACCGGAGCUAAUACCGGAUAAUAUUUUGAACCGCAUGGUUCAAAAGUGAAAGAAGGUCUUGCUGUCACUUAUAGAUGGAUCCGCGCUGCAUUAGCUAGUUGGUAAGGUAACGGCUUACCAAGGCAACGAUGCAUAGCCGACCUGAGAGGGUGAUCGGCCACACUGGAACUGAGACACGGUCCAGACUCCUACGGUAGGCAGCAGUAGGGAAUCUUCCGCAAUGGGCGAAAGCCUGACGGAGCAACGCCGCGUGAGUGAUGAAGGUCUUCGGAUCGUAAAACUCUGUUAUUAGGGAAGAACAUAUGUGUAAGUAACUGUGCACAUCUUGACGGUACCUAAUCAGAAAGCCACGGCUAACUACGUG